rnacentral:rRNA from 1 species
AUUGAACGCUGGCGGCAGGCCUAACACAUGCAAGUCGAACGAGUGGCGGACGGGUGAGUAAUGUCUGGGAAACUGCCCGAUGGAGGGGGAUAACUACUGGAAACGGUAGCUAAUACCGCAUACCAUCGGAUGUGCCCAGAUGGGAUUAGCUUGUAGGUGAGGUAACGGCUCACCUAGGCGACGAUCCCUAGCUGGUCUGAGAGGAUGACCAGCCACACUGGGACUGAGGCACGGGCCAGACUCCUACGGGAGGCAGGAGUUGGGAAUAUUGCGCAAUGGGCGAAAGCCUGAUGCAGCCAUGCCGCGUGAAGGAAGAAGGCCUUCGGGUUGUAAAGUACUGUCAGCGGGGAGGAGUUACCCGAAGAAGAAGCACCGGCUAACUCCGGGCCAGCAGCCGCGGUAAUUC